GAUGAACGCUGGCGGCGUGCCUAAUACAUGCGAGUCGAGCGAACGGACGAGAAGCUUGCUUCUCUGAUGUUAGCGGCGGACGGGUGAGUAACACGUGGAUAACCUACCUAUAAGACUGGGGUAACUUCGGGAAACCGGAGCUAAUACCGGAUGAUAUUUUGAACCGCAUGGUUCAAAAGUGAAAGACGGUCUUGCUGUCACUUAUAGAUGGAUCCGCGCUGCAUUAGCUAGUUGGUAAGGUAACGGCUUACCAAGGCAACGAUGCAUAGCCGACCUGAGAGGGUGAUCGGCCACACUGGAACUGAGACACGGUCCAGACUCCUACGGGAGGCAGCAGUAGGGAAUCUUCCGCAAUGGGCGAAAGCCUGACGGAGCAACGCCGCGUGAGUGAUGAAGGUCUUCGGAUCGUAAAACUCUGUUAUUAGGGAAGAACAUAUGUGUAAGUAACUGUGCACAUCUUGACGGUACCUAAUCAGAAAGCCACGGCUAACUACGUG
rnacentral:rRNA from 1 species